rnacentral:rRNA from 1 species
UACGUAGGGGGCAAGCGUUGUCCGGAUUUAUUGGGCGUAAAGAGCGUGUAGGCGGCCAGACAGGCCUGCUGUGAAAACUCGAGGCUCAACCUCGAGCUGUCGGCGGAAACCGUCUGGCUAGAGUCCGGAAGAGGAGAGUGGGAAUUCCUGGUGUAGCGGUGAAAUGCGCAGAUAUCAGGAAGAACACCUAUGGCGAAGGCAGCUCUCUGGGACGGUACUGGACGGCUGAG